AUUCUGACUCCAGGAAGUAGAGACCGUACCCACCUGAGAGCGCUUGGAAAGCCAAAAUAGGUGCUUUGAAGAAAGUGCAAAUCUACAACAGAGGUCAAAGUUGGAAUUUGGAAACGGACUGCAAAGAACCAUGAGGGAAUAUUUUGAUUAC
rnacentral:lncRNA from 1 species